GGACGCAAGUCUGAUCCAGCCAUGCCGCGUGAAGGAUUAAGGCCCUCUGGGUUGUAAACUUCUUUUAUAGGGGACGAAAAAAGGGUUUUCUAACUCGUCUGACGGUACCCUAUGAAUAAGCACCGGCUAACUCCGUGCCAGCAGCCGCGGUAAUACGGAGGGUGCAAGCGUUAUCCGGAUUCACUGGGUUUAAAGGGUGCGUAGGCGGGCAGUUAAGUCAGUGGUGAAAUCUUCGAGCUUAACUCGGAAACUGCCAUUGAUACUAUCUGUCUUGAAUACUGUGGAGGUGAGCGGAAUAUGUCAUGUAGCGGUGAAAUGCUUAGAUAUGACNNAGAACACCGAUUGCGAAGGCAGCUCGCUACACAAAUAUUGACGCUGAGGCACGAAAGCGUGGGGAUCAAACAGGAUUAGAUACCCUGGUAGUCCACGCCCUAAACUAUGGAUACUCGACAUUUGCGAUACACAGUAAGUGUCU
rnacentral:rRNA from 1 species